GCCUGGGUGGCUCAGUCGGUUAAGCACCUGACUUCGGCUCAGGUCGUGAUCUCAUGGUUCGUGAGUUCAAGCCCCACGUCGGGCU
rnacentral:tRNA from 1 species